rnacentral:lncRNA from 1 species
AAAAAGAACUAUUAUCUUAUAAAAUAGAUAUCCGCAAAACAGGGGGGAAGAAUACAUGGAUUCAAGAGAGAUUUGGGAAUGAUUGUUUAGGGAUUUCAGAGCUCAAAUAAACAAACAAACCCUCCCAACUGGCUACUGAGAAGCUUCUGUAGAUGAAUCUGGAAAACCAAAAUGGCAGAUAUAAACGAAACCCCACAAACCCAAAACACACCUUUUCUCCGAGCUGAGCUGAAAGAUUUGAGACUGAGAGGGUCUCUGGUAAUGUAGUAGAUGGAGCGAGCUGAAGAUCUGAGAGGGAGAGAGAUCAACGGCUCUGGUGGUAAAAAGACAAGCUUUGGAAUUUAAUUUGUGAAGAAGGCGUAGAUCUCGGGAUCUCCACCCACGAAAUGAAUAAAGAAAGUCACUUUCUUCAACACUUGAUUGAUUGAUGGCUACCCAGAAAAUCAAAGAAGAAGAAGAAAGUGAAACCAGAGGAACGGCUGCAUUUGAUUUGCGCCAAUCCUUCUCUUUGUCUCUGUUUUUAUCGUCUUUCUAUCUGCUUUGCUUUUCUCUCCAAAGCAGUUCUAGACCCAUUUUUUAUGUAUUGAAUGAGCCCAUAAACAAGGAAAAGCUUCGUACUUUUUCAACAGACGCGGCAUCAGAUUUCAACUUUGGACUUUCGAGUAGACCUUUCCACUCCAGCCAGCUUCCUUAUUAUUUUUUUGCAGAAAGAAAGAACGAAGAAAAUUAAAGAAGUGGCUCGCAC